rnacentral:rRNA from 1 species
CCUACGGGAGGCAGCAGUGGGGAAUAUUGCACAAUGGGGGAAACCCUGAUGCAGCAACGCCGCGUGAGCGAUGAAGGCCUUCGGGUCGUAAAGCUCUGUCCUAAGGGAAGAAUACUGACGGUACCCUAGGAGGAAGCCCCGGCGAACUACGUGGCAGCAGCCGCGGUAAUAUGUAGGGGGCUAGCGUUAUCCGGAAUUACUGCGGGUAAAGGGUGCGUAGGCGGCCCUUCAAGUCAGAGGUGAAAGGCUACGGCUCAACCGUAGUAAGCCUUUGAAACUGCAGGGCUUGCGUGCAGGAGAGGAGAGUGCAAUUCCAAGUGUAGCGGUGAAAUGCGUAGAUAUUGGGAGGAACACCAGUUGCGAAGGCGGCUCUCUGGACUGUAACUGACGAUGAGGCACGAAAGCGUGGGGAGCGAACAGGAUUAGAUACCCUAGUAGUC